rnacentral:rRNA from 1 species
AUUGAACGCUGGCGGCAGGCCUAACACAUGCAAGUCGAGCGGAUGAAGGGAGCUUGCUCCUGGAUUCAGCGGCGGACGGGUGAGUAAUGCAUAGGAAUCUGCUUGGUAGUGGGGGGGAACGUCUGGAGGAGGGCGCUGAUACCGCAUACUUCCUGAGGGAGAAAGAGGGGGGUGGUCGGACAUUACGCUAUGAGAUGAGCCUAGGUCGGGUUAGCUAGUUGGUGGGGUGAGGGCCUACCAAGGCGACGAUCCGUAGCUGGUCGGAGAGGAUGAUCAGUCACCCUGGAACUGAGACACGGUCCAGACGCCUACGGUAGGCAGCAGUCGGGAAUAUGGGACAAUGGGCGGAAGUAUGAUCCAGCCAUGCGGCGUGUGUGAAGAAAGUCUUCGGAUUGUGAAGCACUUUAAGUUGUGAGGAAGGGCAGUAAGUUAAGACCUUGCUGGUUUGACGGUACCAACAGAAGAAGCACCGGCUAACUUCGUG